GAUGAACGCUGGCGGCGUGCCUAAUACAUGCAAGUCGAGCGAACGGACGAGAAGCUUGCUUCUCUGAUGUUAGCGGCGGACGGGUGAGUACCACGUGGAUAACCUACCUAUAAGACUGGGAUAACUUCGGGAAACCGGAGCUAAUACCGGAUAAUAUUUUGAACCGCAUGGUUCAAAAGUGAAAGACGGUCUUGCUGUCACUUAUAGAUGGAUCCGCGCUGCAUUAGCUAGUUGGUAAGGUAACGGCUUACCAAGGCAACGAUGCAUAGCCGACCUGAGAGGGUGAUAGGCCACACUGGAACUGAGACACGGUCCAGACUCCUACGGGAGGCAGCAGUAGGGAAUCUUCCGCAAUGGGCGAAAGCCUGACGGAGCAACGCCGCGUGAGUGAUGAAGGUCUUCGGAUCGUAAAACUCUGUUAUUAGGGAAGAACAUAUGUGUAAGUAACUGUGCACAUCUUGACGGUACCGAAUCAGAAAGCCACGGCUAACUACGUG
rnacentral:rRNA from 1 species